rnacentral:lncRNA from 1 species
UUUUGAGCGUACGUUUCCUCUCCCUCUCUCCCUCCAAAAGACAAACAAGCGCUAAAGACGACGCCGUCUUCCCUUCAAGGCCAAUUGACGUCAUCGGAUCAAAUGAGAUCGUUUUCUCUUCCUCUUAUCGGCGUUAGUGUUUCAUCUGUGGCUAACAAGGUACGCUCGAUUCCGUGGUGUGCUUUAGGAUCGGUGAUACAUGUGAAUUUCCCAGGCUUGUCUUCUGCAUUCGUUUUAGGGGUUCGAUUUAGCGUCGAAUCUGUUUUUGGGAAUCCGACAAUCCCAACAACAACGAACAAAAAAAAAUUGUGAAGUGACUAGUCCUUAGUCCCAGGACUAGCUAGUUUAGUUCCAGAAAUGGGGAACCUGUUUUCUUGGUCCAGUUCCCAAUUUUUAGUAGGACCGGACCGGAUUGAGAACCGAUCACUCCUAUCACGUAUCGGCAAGCAAAAGGGGAAGCCACCUUACCCCACAAAAAAAUCCCACUCUCUCUAUUUCUCUCUCCUCCGCUUUCUCUAUCCUCAAGUUUUAAGAUUUGCAUGCACAAAACUCCCGACAAACCCCAACGUUGCGGCUGCCGUCCCUGGCCUUCGUGCAACCCCACCGUCUCGUUUCAACUCUGCCCCCACGAUCGUCGCCUCUCUCCUUCACAAUCGUACGUUGCUACUUCGUAUAAUAUGUGGGCCUUAUACUUGUAUGGUGGCCCUUUAACGUACUUUUGUAUGCUCUUUGGUCUAUGUGACUUUUUUGUACUUAUAUAGGCAGGCGAGUCUACGGUUUCCAACAGUGCCUCUCGGGCCUCCUCCAUUAGCUUGAAAAAUAAAAAUCACAACCUUCCUUAUUGAGAUUAGUUGAAACUCUAAUCUAUUACAAUUCAAUCUAAUAGUGAAAGAUUCUAUGGGUACAGUACUUCUUAAAGCCUGUGGUUAGCUAUAUAACUUUUUUAUUAUAGGAAGUGCGCAGCAUAAGUUCAAUACCUUUCGUCAGGGGAAAUCUCCAAAAACUUAAGCCAAUGAGUUAUGAGUCAAUUAAGAUAUAAUAAUUGCUCUGCACCACACCAAUUUUCAAAUGCGGGACUUUUUUAACACAACUUACAUGUGUAUCUUAACAUUUACUACACAAGUCAUGUUUGUCACUGCUUAUUUGGUAAUUGAUUGAUUUCUAAAUUACUAAGCUUUUUGACUACUUGUAAUUUCCAUUUAAUGAUUUCACACACGAUAAUUCUUUUAUUUUUCCUUUAAGUGUUCAAAUUAUUGUUUCAAUUACUUCCCCUGAUGCACAUUACUUGCCUCGAGUGGCAAAAAAACAAAAACAAAAACAAAAAAACAAAAAACUAAUGGUUGAUUAUUAUCUUCUUUAUCAAUUUGUGUGGAGAAGAGAAAAAGGAAGCAAAAGGUAGCUUGGAAAGAAAUCCAAAAGACAGAAAAGAUGGUUAAUAGAUAUCUUUUUCAUCAUCCAUGAUCUCCAAACGCACGGAUAGAUGCAUACCGUCCAUUGGUUUGUGAUUUUCUUCUUGCCUAAUUGUUUCUCCUACAAUAACCGUGGUUAGUUAAUAUCUCAUUGGCACGUUACUUGCCUUGAGUGGCUAGCAAAAAUCUAGUGGUCGAUUAUUAUCUUCUUUAUCAGUUUGUGUGGCAAAGGAAAAGGAAGCAAAAACUAGCUCGGAAAAGAAAUUCAAAAGACAGAAAAGAUGGUUAAUAGUUGUCUUCUUCAUCACCCAUUAUCUCCAAAAUGCACAAACAGAUGCACACCGUCCAUCGGUUUGUGAUUUUCUUCUUGCUUAAUUGUUUCUCAUUCAAUAAUAGCUGUGGUUAGUUAAUAUCUCAUUGGCACAUUACUUGCCUCGAGUGGCAAGCAAAAAUCUAGUGGUCGAUUAUUAUCUUCUUUAUCAGUUUGUGUGGCAAAGGGCAAAGGGAAAAUGAAGCAAAAAGUAGCUCGUAAAAGAAAUUCCAAAAGACGAAAAAGAAGGUUAAUUGCUGUCUUCUUCGUCAUGUGUGGUGAAGGGGCCAGCGUUUAUCUCCAAACGCAUGGGCAGAUGCACACCGUCCAUCGGUUUGUGAUUUUCUUCUUGCCUAAUUGUUUUUCCUACAAUAACUGUGGUUAGUUAAUAUCUCAUUGGCAUGUUACUUGCCUUGAGUGGCUAGAAAAUCUAGUGGUCGAUUAUUAUCUUCUUUAUCAGGUUUGUGUGGGAAAGGAAAAGGAAGCAAAAAGUAGCUCCGAAAAGAAAUUCAGAAGACAGAAAAUAUGGUUAAUAGCCGUCUUCUUCAUCACCCAUUAUCUCCAAAACGGACAAACAGAUGCACACCGUCCAUCGGUUUGUGAUUUUCUUCUUGCCUAAUUGUUUCUCAUACAAUAGCUGUGGUUAGUUAAUAUCUCAUUGGCACGUUACUUGCCUCGAGUGGCCAGCAAAAAUCUAGUGGUCGAUUAUUAUCUUCUUUAUCAGUUUGUGUGGCAAAGGGAAAAGGAAGCAAAAAAUAGCUCGGAAAAGAAAUUCCAAAAGACAAAAAAAGAAGGUUAAUUGCUGUCUUCUUUGUCAUGUGUGGUGAAGGGGCCAGCCUUUAUCUUCAAACGCAUGGGCAGAUGCACACUGUCCAUCGGUUUGUGAUUUUCUUCUUGCCCAAUUCUUACUCUUACAAUAUUUAUAAGAAAAGAAGAACUUAAAAUGUAGACUCAUGUAAUUUCCUGUAAAGAUUUAACUGAAUGACGAUACAAG